AAGCGCAGUAUGAGGUGCAGGGCUAUUUCACUUUAUUAAUAAAUACUAAACUACAGUGCAAAUAUUGUCCCGAAGCUAAUUCAGAUACCGAAUGUAAUAAAUAUUUAUUAAAGGAACAUUUACUUCAACAUGGUGUCAAUGUGAUGACACAACAUGAGAGUUUUAAUCAUUACUGGGUCGGAAAUUGCGCCAGAUUGAAGAUCCGCGCGUUCGAGAUCGACGAUAGUUAUUUUAAUGCAAACGAGAAACAAUAAGUUUAGCGCCAGAACGUUUCUUGAUUCUCUCCCCCUUUUCUUGUCGUUAAGUUGAUGACUUAGAACUUGCAACGAUCGCGAAGAAAAAUUCUAAGUCCGUGACUGAAAUUUAGGAGCGCAGCAGGACUGCUCGUGACGUCGAAUUGAGACGAAAAGAAGAAAGAACACUCGCGCUCAGAGGCAUGGUCUUAUAUAGAGACCCUCUAAUCAGAGUCGCGAAAUGACGCAGGAAAGUUAGGUCGAACAACGCCAUUUUUCAGCAAAAACCGGAAAUAGCGAACAUUAUCACACUAUUAUAUUAGCCAUGUUGGCUGUGUUGUAAAAUGACAUGUGUUACAAAAUGACAUAUAUUAACCUAUAGACACAUGGACAUCUAAAUGCAAAUGUCAAAAUAUAUUAUUAAAGUGUUUUUUUUGUGAAAUUUAGUAUUAGAUAAAAAAAUUAAUAAUAAUAUAUUAAUUGAUAAUGGCAUUUGACCAUGGCUAUUUCCGAUCUUUGCUGAAAAAUGUCGGCACCAAUCAAAAUUGGAUUCCUGAUUUCGCGACUCUUAUUAAAGGGUCUCUAGUCUUAUAUGGUCCGGCGCGACGCGGUGUGAGUAGCCAUGUGAACCAACUUCCAAACAUAACUGCUGUGGUAUAGAAUUCUGAGAGCGGCGUCCCGUGUGUCAAAGAUAAUUGAAACGGCUAAACGUGAGAACGGCUGGCUCGUGGCUAUGUCUGAUUGGUGAGGCGGUGUGGCGGUGUUGUGCAUGGUUUCGCGGGCUUCAUCCACGUGCACGACGAUAUUGUUUUGUAAUCAAUUGUUAUCGAAUUGUUGAUUAACAAGCCUUAAAAUAAAGUGACCAUGUGAAUCAGGCAUACUAAUAAUCGGAACGGGUGAGAAUGGCUGAUCCGUAAUCAGCUUCCUCGGUGCGCACUGAUAAUGUAUAAUGUAUAUAUGUGUAUACUGUA